rnacentral:rRNA from 1 species
UACGUAGGGCGCAAGCGUUGUCCGGAAUUAUUGGGCGUAAAGAGCUCGUAGGCGGUUCAGUAAGUCGGGUGUGAAAACUUUGGGCUUAACCCAAAGCGUGCAUCCGAUACUGCUGUGACUUGAGUACGGUAGGGGAGCGGGGGAAUUCCUAGUGUAGCGGUGAAAUGCGCAGAUAUUAGGAGGAACACCGGUGGCGAAGGCGCCGCUCUGGGCCGAAACUGACGCUGAGGAGCGAAAGCGUGGGGAGCGAACAGG